UCUACGGGUGGCAGCAGUGGGGAAUAUUGGACAAUGGGGGCAACCCUGAUCCAGCCAUGCCGCGUGUGUGAAGAAGGCCCUCGGGUUGUAAAGCACUUUCAGUGAGGAAGAACGCCUGGUGGUUAAUACCCAUCAGGAAAGACAUCACUCACAGAAGAAGCACCGGCUAACUCCGUGCCAGCAGCCGCGGUAAUACGGAGGGUGCGAGCGUUAAUCGGAAUUACUGGGCGUAAAGCGCGCGUAGGUGGCUUGAUAAGCCGGUUGUGAAAGCCCCGGGCUCAACCUGGGAACGGCAUCCGGAACUGUCAAGCUAGAGUGCAGGAGAGGAAGGUAGAAUUCCCGGUUUAGCGGUGAAAUGCGUAGAGAUCGGGAGGAAUACCAGUGGCGAAGGCGGCCUUCUGGACUGACACUGACACUGAGGUGCGAAAGCGUGGGUAGCAAACAGGAAUAGAUACCCCAGUAGUC
rnacentral:rRNA from 1 species